GCGAAUCGAUGGGAGCUUGCUCCCUGAGAUUAGCGGCGGACGGGUGAGUAACACGUGGGCAACCUGCCUAUAAGACUGGGAUAACUUCGGGAAACCGGAGCUAAUACCGGAUACGUUCUUUUCUCGCAUGAGAAAAGAUGGAAAGACGGUUUACGCUGUCACUUAUAGAUGGGCCCGCGGCGCAUUAGCUAGUUGGUGAGGUAAUGGCUCACCAAGGCGACGAUGCGUAACCGACCUGAGAGGGUGAUCGGCCACACUGGGACUGAGACACGGCCCACACUCCUACGGGAGGCAGCAGUAGGGAAUCUUCCGCAAUGGACGAAAGUCUGACGGAGCAACGCCGCGUGAACGAAGAAGGCCUUCGGGUCGUAAAGUUCUGUUGUUAGGGAAGAACAAGUACCAAAGUAACUGCUGGUACCUUGACGGUACCUAACCAGAAAGCCACGGCUAACUACGUGCCAGCAGCCGCGGUAAUACGUAGGUGGCAAGCGUUGUCCGGAAUUAUUGGGCGUAAAGCGCGCGCAGGUGGUUCCUUAAGUCUGAUGUGAAAGCCCACGGCUCAACCGUGGAGGGUCAUUGGAAACUGGGGAACUUGAGUGCAAAAGAGGAAAGUGGAAUUCCAAGUGUAGCGGUGAAAUGCGUAUAGAUUUGGAGGAACACCAGUGGCGAAAGCGACUUUCUGGUCUGUAACUGACACUGAGGCGCGAAAGCGUGGGGAGCAAACAGGAUUACAUACCCUGGUAGUCCACGCCGUAAACGAUGAGUGCUAAGUGUUAGAGGGUUUCCGCCCUUUAU
rnacentral:rRNA from 1 species